rnacentral:rRNA from 1 species
GUGGGGAAUAUUGGACAAUGGGGGGAACCCUGAUCCAGCCAUGCCGCGUGUGUGAAGAAGGCCUUUUGGUUGUAAAGCACUUUAAGCGAGGAGGAGGCUACCGAGAUUAAUACUCUUGGAUAGUGGACGUUACUCGCAGAAUAAGCACCGGCUAACUCUGUGCCAGCAGCCGCGGUAAUACAGAGGGUGCAAGCGUUAAUCGGAUUUACUGGGCGUAAAGCGCGCGUAGGUGGCCAAUUAAGUCAAAUGUGAAAUACCCGAGCUUAACUUGGGAAUUGCAUUCGAUACUGGUUGGCUAGAGUAUGGGAGAGGAUGGUAGAAUUCCAGGUGUAGCGGUGAAAUGCGUAGAGAUCUGGAGGAAUACCGAUGGCGAAGGCAGCCAUCUGGCCUAAUACUGACACUGAGGUGCGAAAGCAUGGGGAGCAAACAGGAUUAGAAACCCGAGUAGUCC